UUAGUUCGUUCUCAUCUCCUCCUUCAAAUCGCUCAUCUCCUCGUCGAUCCCCUCCCUUUCUCCCGUCUCCUCCACUCCUCCCGCCGCCGCUGCCGCUCUCACCUACCGCUACCGGCUAGCUACAUCGCCGACCCUGCCAGAUCCUACUUUCUCUCGGCUUCCUCUCAUCAUUCCUAACAAUAUCUCUUUGAACCACUGCCUGAAACACAUGGGCCGCCCAACCCUAGAUCGGUAAUCGGCAUCGUCGAUCUGCAAGUUCCCACUGGCUGCUUUCUGGGCGGCAUGCGCCAUGCCACACGGCAGAACCACCAGUUGGUGUAGUUGAGGCCGUCUGACGAAGCUGCGGCCCAAUUUGGCGACAAAUGCAAACUAGAUGGUGACCAACAGCUUCGUCGCGCGCGAGCCGGCAGCCGCCUCCGGCAGCAAUCUGGUGGUGUUGGAUGGUAGGCAAGUAGCCUAACUGAGGAGGACCACAGGAGCUCAAGGGCUAUCUCGACCUCGUCUUCAGGUUCGCAUUCAAACCAAGCCCGUCCCGAGCUCUUCAGGUCACUCCCUGCGCUUUUAGCUGUACCACUUCAUGACGCGGAGACUAGUAAUGCAAUUGCCAGGCCAUCAAUGAGAUUUCCGUCCCAUGUAAGUAAUUAUUUGUCCCACGGGUAUCUCAAUUGUGAUUUUGUUUCCAUGCUUUUUUUUGUGACUGCCAGGUGUGGUUCAAGUAAUUAACCAGUUCAUCCAUAUCUAAAUAUUUGCAUUAUCCUUCCUGAACUGUUGCCCUAUUUCGGUCGACCAUCCACUGCUGUCCGUGAAGUAAUAAACAGAUUGCUACCACUCCACUCUUUUAUCAACUUAAUGCGUGUAAUGUUUCAGUUUAUUUUCAGUGACUAUCGAAGUUGUCCAAUUCUUCGCCGCUUUUAAUUAAUUUGUUAUAUUCAACAUUUAUUCUUAGGUAUAUAUUCUUGAAUCUACAUAAUAGAAGCAGAAAAGAAGCGACUUGUGAUGAGUGGACAUGCGCGACUACGAAGGACAAGAUGGUUUUUACUAUCUCAAAUUGACUUGAUUGUACUUAUUUAAAAACAAUUAAUGUCUUAUGUGUGCAGCCUGCAUGUUUCCUGUUCCGCUAUCAUGAUGAUAUAAUCCCCCUCCUGACUCUAUAGGAAUAAACUAAAAAAAGAAUUCUCCUGCUUUUGGCAUUUGCAAACAACUUAUAUUGAUGAUAGAAAUUAUUUUUCAUUUCAUAUCCUCGCUAAUAAGCAGAUUGUAAAUGCUAAAAUUCCUUGUUAUAUAUGCAGCUUGAAUGUUCCCAUUUUUUUUCUUCUAAGGAGGCAAAGAAGAAUAAUAUAUUUAUAUCUUCACACUUUCCUAUAUUUAUCUGGCUUUCGUCCUCUCACAGCAGGUGACUCAAGCGAGCUACAAUACCAGCAAGGGAAGCAUUACUCGUUGUUGUAUCCUAAUAUACGCUUGCAGAUUGCACUUUCUGUGUGUAUAUGGUCAACUAAUGCACUGCAAGAUUGAGUAUCCUAUGCUAGAUGAGCUGCACAAAGGUGCCAAUGAAUGGAUUUCACACUGGCGUGUUUGAGUUUGUAGCAGAAGAAGGUUAUGAAAUAUUGUGAGUUGAACAAGUGGAGCAUUGGAAUUUUUUCACGUGGGCAUAAGAGAGUACUUAUAAUUGUUUACUUGGUUGGUGAUUGGAUUAUGCAGGAGGUAAAUAUAAUGAAAGGAUAUUGUGGAGCGGCAUCCAGACAAAGGGGCUGAAUGCACAAUAGAUGAUUUUAUUUUAUUUCUUAGAUUAGAUUAAGGUGUCAACAAAAAUGUGCGGUGAAACCUAUGGAUAACUAGUUUAUUCAUUGUUUCUUUUGUACCGAGCUUAUGUAUAUGUAACUCAGAUUGUAUUACCGAAUUUCAAUUAAUAAAGUUUUAUGAUUCAUUUAACAUACAA